rnacentral:rRNA from 1 species
AUUGAACGCUGGCGGCAGGCCUAACACAUGCAAGUCGAGCGAGCGGCGGACGGGUGAGUAAUGUCUGGGGAACUGCCUGAUGGAGGGGGAUAACUACUGGAAACGGUGGCUAAUACCGCAUACCAUCAGAUGAGCCCAUAUGGGAUUAGCUAGUAGGUGAGGUAAUGGCUCACCUAGGCGAUGAUCCCUAGCUGGUCUGAGAGGAUGACCAGCCAAACUGGAACUGAGACACGGGCCAGACUCCUACGGGAGGCAGCAGUGGGGAAGAGUGCACAAUGGACGAAAGUCUGACGCAGCCACGCCGCGUGUGUGAAGAAGGCCUUCGGGUUGUAAGUCCCGUUAAGCGGGGAGGCGGUACCCGAAGAGAAAGCACCGGCUAACUCCGUGCCAGCCGCCGCGGUAAUUC